GAGGAUUCUCUCAAGUCCCACUCGGUGUGGUUCUUAGGAACGAACCCUCUAACUGUUACAGUUAGGUGACGUUCCUAUGAACCAGAUAGAGUGGGACUUGAGAGAUGGGU
rnacentral:pre_miRNA from 1 species